rnacentral:lncRNA from 1 species
GGUAGCAAAUGCCUUAGUCUAUCUGGAGAAGGUGUCUACUAGUACUAGAAGGUAUUUGUACUUAGCCUGGUGUGGUUUGACUUCUGUAAAGUCAAUUUCUUACUUUUUUCUCGGCGAGUUUUUUCAGAGACAGUGGCCUGGGCUGGGUUUAGGACUUUGUUUGGCAUUUACUUGGGUGCAGGUUGUGCACUGGAGAGCGGCUUAAUCUGAUAGGCUUUGAAGACGGGGGAUCUUAAAAUGGCUCCGGAGGAGCUGAGGUAGCUUUGCUCUUUUUAAGUGGGUGGUAGACUGCAGGUGACUGAUUAAAGUUUCUUUAAGAGUUCAGGAUAUGAAGAUUCUAGAGUCAGGAAGAAUCUACUAACUUUCCUGAUUUUUAUUGGCUCUGAGAUCUGAAGCCAGUUUUUUUGUUGUUGUUGUUGUUGAGUAUACGGGAUUGUCAGGCAGAUCUGGCUGAGGAAAGGAGACUGUGGGCAGCAAGUUUAGAGGCGUGACUGAAAGUUGCGCUGCGACCUGAGCUGCUGAAUCAGCUUUCUAGUUACUAUGGGCAAAGCCGUGUUUUCUUUUUGAUGUCCUUUGCAGUGGAUCACAGCUAUCUGCUGAGACAGACAAGGGGAGGGGCUCCUGUGAUGGGAUCAGUCAGAUGCCUGCCUGGCCGCUCCCCCUGAGGGGACUUGGGCUCCUCUUAACAUUGGCAGGCUGGUAUAAACUUCCGGCUCAGAUCAAGCUAUGCCUGAUGCUGCCUUAAGCCUUAUGAGGUCGCCACGGAACCGCAGAAACUCCUGGAGGGCAGAGCUGUGUCUGCCAUCUUCAUCAUUGCAUUACCACCACCAAGCACAGUGCCUGGCACAAAAGAGUUGCUCAAUAAAUAAAUCAGGAUGAAUGGAUAAAUACAUGGAUAGGCACUUUGAGCUACAGAUGAGUUUAAAUACUUUGUGUUUUUCUUAGUCAAACAUGUGCAAUUAAGCAUGUGAUAAAUGAUAUGAUGACCACA